GUUCAUACGGUCAAGUUAGUCGAUAGUCUCUUCCCUCGCGCCGUGAGAAUCCCGCCGAAACCAGCCAGUAAUAAACAGUCGCCAGUAUCCGCGAGUUGUCGGUGCGUGCCAGACGUCCCCAUGCCACAGCGAACGAAUACCCGUCGCGAUCAAGAUCAACCGCCUAAAAGGAAAAUUAAGUUUCUCGGCUUCUUAGCGGGCGCAAGGAUGAUAAACCCGUGUGAGCGUCGGUCGGUGGCCUGCCUACUCCUGGCCAUCAUAGCUGUGGUAGCCGCCGCUUCGUACGACCGUGAGAGGCUCGAGAUUGCUAAGCAGAUCUUGGAAGAAGUUCCUUUGACUGACGGCCACAACGACCUUCCGUGGAACAUCAGGAAGUUCCUUCGCAACCAGAUCAAUGAGUUUGAGCUGAACACCGACCUGACCGUGGUGGAACCCUGGUCGAUCUCUAAGUACUCCCACACUGACCUGCCGAGGCUGAAGACUGGGAUGGUGGGAGCACAGUUCUGGUCAGCGUUCGUGCCGUGCGCGACGCAGAACAAGGAUGCUGUGCAGCUCACGCUGGAGCAGAUCGACGUCAUCAAGCGCCUGGUCGACAAGUACCCGCAGUAUCUGCAGUUCGCUACUUCUGUUACUGAUAUCCUCGAGGCUCACAGCGCCCGACCUCGCAAGAUUGCCUCUCUCAUCGGCAUCGAGGGAGGUCACUCCAUCGCCAACUCUUUAGGAGUACUCCGCUCCUACUACCAGCUCGGCGUCCGAUACAUGACCCUCACUCACACUUGCAACACCCCAUGGGCCGACUCAUCGAACGAAGCGCCCGUGGCCAAUGGACUGACCGAAUUCGGAGAGAAAGUGGUGAAGGAGAUGAACCGCUUGGGCAUGAUAGUGGAUCUGUCGCACGUGGGGGAGAACACCACCAGGGCUGCCAUCAGGCUCUCCAGGGCUCCCGUGGUCUUCACCCACUCAUCCGUCUACAGUCUCUGCAACCAUAAGCGUAACGUUCCUGAUGAUAUCAUCCAAUCUCUGAAAGAGAAUGGCGGUAUCAUCAUGGUGAACUUCUUCCCCGACUUCGUGAAGUGCGCGCCCAACGCCACGAUCUCUGACGUCGCCGAACAUUUCCACUACAUCAAGCGCAUGAUUGGGGCUGACUACGUCGGCAUCGGUGGAGACUUUGAUGGUGUGAAUAGGGUACCCCGAGGACUGGAAGACGUGUCGCGAUACCCGGAGCUGUUCGCGGAACUCCUGCGCAGCGGCCAGUGGAACGUCCAGGAGUUGAAGAACCUUGCCGGCCUGAAUAUGUUACGAGUCAUGCGCCAAGUUGAGAAGGUGCGGGACGAGAUGCGCACAAACGGAGUGGAGCCUGAGGAACACCCUGACUCACCCAAUGACAACGGAAAUUGCACCAGCAAUGCUUUCUACACCGAAUAUGUGUAAAUUGCCCGCAAUGUAACGCGACUGCCGAUUUCCAACUUUAUUUCUAGUAGUUAGGGUUGGUAUUUGAGUGGGGGGACGCACGUCAAUCAAAUUAGAUUGUGUUUUGUUUACAAUAGUGGAGACUUUGGUUUUGAGGUGCGUUUUGAAAGCUAGCUGCUGACUGCCGACUGUACUUGCAGCAACUGCAAGAAAUCGGUGGAUAUCUGAAGGGUGACUGCACGUACUGCUGCAGCUUCCAUCCAAAAUGGUUUUGUGUAAAUAUGUACAAACUAGUAGUGCAGUUGCGGCUGAUUUCAUGCAGUCGCUGCCAGUGCGGUCGGAAGUUGCAGUCGACAGCUAGCAUUCAAAACGUACCUUUAGUGUGUUUAUAAAAAAACAACAUCAAUAAAACAAAUGAAGUUUCUAGCACAGAAUGUAAUACGUAUGGUUGGUAUUCGAAUUCAAUUGAGUUGUAAAGACAAAGCGUGUGACGCUCCAACCGAGUGUAAAAUCGAGUGUAUCAAUCGUGUGACGCAAAUGUGUUUGCUCCGCCAACUGUGAGCCAUUGAAGAUUCCUGCCGUCUCUGAUACUCUGCCAUCUGUUCGCGUUUACACUUGCUUGACUUUUUAUGGAAAAAACUUUUUGAAAUGUUUAACAAAAUUUUGCUAGCGGUUUCACCUGCAUCUUAAGGGACGAAAAAGUAAUCAAUAUCUAAGUGCAUAUUACUAACAAGUUUGGUCAAAAUCUAUGCAUUAGUUCAAACGUAGAAAUAGCCAGCACCAAUACAAACUAUUGCAUUCAUUAUAAUAAAAGGAAUUGAAUUAAUUUCGUUCGCGGCUAAUCUAUCAAAAUUGGAUAAAUCCAAUUUGCAAAAUGGAUAAAAUACAGGUGCCAUCGCAAUCCACUUAAAUCUAAUAAAGCCGGCGCCGAACUAAUUCAAUAGCUCACUGAAUCAAACAAGUUUGUAUUCCUAGUUGGACUUGGAAUUAACACAUUUUACUCGAACUUUCUGCAGUACACUGUCUUUCACGAAACUGUAGUCAAUGCCCCGGGGUACUCAAAACUAACCAAUUACGACCACGAAAUGUACUAAAAAUGCUAAUUUUACACACAAUUUCCACUUAUCUACAGCAUAGAAUUUUGUUUGUUUUACAACAGUGAGCUAACAUAAUUGCAAAUAUACAUCGAGGUCGCGUUCGAUGUACCAGACACUUGUAUUUCGGCUACAAUUACACAGCUGUCAAAUUCAAUUGGCAAUCCGAUAGCACUACAUCAAUUUGAAAUUCGAAUACCAAAUGAAAUUAUUUCGCGUAACCUUCGCGUCUUAUUUGAUUUGUGUCCCUGUAAAUAAAUAAAUAAAAUACUUCUGCUCAAAUUGUUAGUCAAAUUACGGCUCGUUGAAAGCUGGGAAUGAUGUUUUUUAUAGAAAUGUUGUAUGGAAAUGUGCAGUCGCGUCCGAUACCGACCGGACCGAGAGUUCAUCCGACAGUUUGAUUCCAAUUGAUGUGUUACAUGAUAAAUGUCUGUGUACCAGCCACUGUUCACACUUGCCCAGCUUGUUUGUUUUUUUGCACCUGAAGUGUAAUGACGACAAUGCGGAUAUUUGCUUAUGAAUAUAAAUGAUUCAGGUUGUGUUAAAUUCAAUAAUAAAUUUCGCAAUUUUAAUAUUGUAUUUAUGCGAAUUACGGAAAAUGUUCAACAUAUGAUAACAACAGAUUACGUUGUGUAAUUAAAAGCUUGGAGAAAUGAAAUUAAUGAAAUGUAAAUUAAUAUGAUUAAAAUGAUGGCUGGGCAAGUGUGAGCAGCCUUUUAACCGAUGACGAUAAUUGUCAAUAUGUGUGUGUUAAGUUAUUUAUUCAAGAAACUAUCGUCGUAUUUCAUAAGCGUCUAUUUAUAAAACACUAGUUGUACCAGCGGUUUCCCCCGCUUUCCGAGGAACAAACAUCACACCUGCAAAAUUUUACGUUUAUAAUAUUAGCAAGUUCAACAUGAAAGUAUACUACAGCCUUAUAGGUAUUGUCUUCUUUUGCCAACCAAUUGACUUUACUUCAGCGCGAUUGAAGAUAAAACCGUUUGAAUUUCUCGCACUUCUGGCUGCAGUUGCGGAAUACAGUUCAAAGUUUAUAAAUUCAUCGCAGUAGUUCCGAGCUCAGUGGGAUCCAGCUAUGAUGUCCGCCGGCCUGAGACAAUUAGACCAAUAAACUGUGAAUAACUACUGACAUUCUACUCGUGUUAAGAGUUUUGUUGCCUAACUUUUGUGUUGGAGAUAUCUGCUAAGCUAAAGUUCAUAAGUUUUCAUCGUUGAUCAGGUAAAUUCGUUUCUAGAUUGUCAACAGUUUUCGAAAUUUUUGAGUGGGAAAAGUUAAUUAAAAAGCCAAUUAUGUCACUUCUCCUAUAAGUCAAUAGCAAAUUCAUUGGAAUAUAAAUUGCUGUAAAAUAUUUUAAUUGCAAAAUGGGCAAAACGUUUCCCAAUAAACUGAACGGCUUUUUCAGUCGAAAUUCGUUCCGAAUAAAUAAAUAUAAAGUCGUCUGCACUUUUAAUUUUAACAGCUCAAUAAAUCUUGGUUCUGUUUCAGUAAGCAUGUCCAAUUUCAAUUAUUCGAAAUCAUAGCGUUUGUGCGGAAGGCAAUUUUGUGCUAAACUAUUCACAAUUAAUUAUGUCGAAAGAUUUAUUCAAUUAAACGAGCUGUUUCGCCACAUGUAGGCACAUAAUGUCAAAUGUCCGACACGUGUUGGCCGGCUUCUGACACUGCUAUUAGUAAGGUUAAUUCGACCCGAAAUAUCGUAUUUGUAACCGUCAUUUACAAAUGGAAAUACGCUGUUAUUUCAACUGAUCGAUAUUUUCCGUGGCCCUUAUGAAGUCCUCUUUCAUCUGAAUUUUUAAUCUAACCAAACGAUUAAAGUUAAAGCCGGGAGGGUAACUUUGCGUUCGUCGGCGACAACUUGACUUCAACAAUAUCAGACGGUGCCAAGUAACUUUGCCGCGAGAUUUAACAAGCAAGAGAGAACAUCUUUGUGACUACGUAACGGUGAACUUGUGUGUAUCUUUUUACCAUCAAAGGGAAUAUUAUCGAACCUAUCAAAACUUUACUCUUUAGAUGAGAGUUAGCGUCGUUAAAGAAAUAAGUGCACAAAAUCCGCUAGUGUGAAAGUUCUGUUACUGUUUAUUAUCACUGGUUACGAGUCUUAUCGCCAAGGAGCGCAAAUGCGAGCUGAAGUUUACACCUUCAUCGUAAUAAAUAAAUGUUAUGCGACAUUAUGAGAUACGACGAUAGUUUAUACGUGGUAACUGAUAGAUAAUCAAAAUAUAUAAUGUAAUAAAUGUUGUAGCUGCAUGGUAGGUGUAUUGUUGUGAACUGUGCACUUCUUCCUUCUUCACAACUGAGUAGAUUUCGUUCACAUAUCAUUCUCUGUCCUGACUGCUCCCGGCAAUACAAGCGCUGCCUCCCUUCCGCGCUCUUCCAGUGUUGCAUUGCCGCGGGCCACUUAGAUAGACUACUCGAAAUUGGAAUUAAAUGGAAGGCUCGAGCGAGAGAAACUAAAUUAACUGGGUAAUUAGAAAAAAAUAACAAAAAAUAUUUUAUUUUACUAUUGUAAUUUAAAAUAAAAAAAUAAAAGGUUCGAUCUAGGGUUGUAGGUAGAGAAUAAAAUUUGUAAAAAAGACGUUUUAAUAAAUUUAACGUUAUUGGUUUGUUAUGAUGUUUGGAUUUCCAUUGUUUCAUGUUGAAUUGUAUUUAAGGAAUUGAAGGAUAUUUGCUUGUAAGUGAAAACAUACGGGAAGUAGUAAGUCAUGUUAUGACACCGUAUGUUUUCAAUAAGGGUCGGUUCUCACUUCACUGCUUGUUACUUGUUCUGUAGUUUUGUUGAUAUUUCUAUAAGUUGAAUUUUCAUGUACUGUCUUUGUGUAUUUCUUAAGUUCUACUUAAAUCGGACUGGAGGGCUUUAACUUCGGCGAAUAAUGAACAAAUUGAGAGCAUAGAACAAACAUACAAUCAUUUGAUGGUACUAUUAGAUACGUGAAUCACUUGGUUCAUCGUUCGCUGAGCGAGUGUGCGAGCAUUAAAUGCGAGCGAAUCUGAGCGGCAAGAGCUUCGAACCCCGGGCCGGACACGGCCGGCGUCCGGCGCCCGUCCGGCCCGGCUCGCCCACUGUCCGACUUUGUAAGCUAAAAGCUAGUAUACAAUUUAGCGUAAGGUCUAAACAUGUGAUGCAAAUCGUUGUGCCAAAUGACCUAAACUUUUUAUAACUUCUUAUACAGUUUCGUAUUAAAACUGUAACUUACAUCUUUCUUUUUAUAAUUUUGUACUAAAAGGCUUCGAUGCCAAGGAAUGAGAUAAAAAUGUGUGUAACCCGUAGUUUUAGUUCGUUUGUCAUACUGACAAUAAAACCAUCCACUUUAAAAAAAAUGAAAUGCUGUGAAUUUCUUAAUGUAUAUUUAAAUAUAACUUUAAUAUAUGAUGUGAAAGAGCGACUAUUUCUUAUAAAUUGUGACUGAACGAUUUUUGAACCUAUACUCAACUUUAAACUAAGGAUUUUCUUCUAAAAUCUGGCUGUUAUUUUGUCGUACAAGCAUGUAAUGUGUAUCAAGCGCACUGUCGGUGUAUUAACGUAUUUACUACUGUUUACCAAAUAAUUGUGUUGGGUGAUGUUCGGACAACGUACGGCGGCCGCAGCGAGCCGCGGGCGACACGCUCGGCGACCGCAGCGAGUGAGCACGCCAUUAUCACUACCGACAGAUUUACAUAGCAAUUCAACCAUUAAAACGUUUUAUGCAGAAUUGAUUAAUUCUCAAAAUAUUGCAGAUAGUGAACACAGUUGCUUUGAAAAAAAAAAACACAAUUGUUACGUCUUAGUGGAUAAUCACCCUAACACCCAAAACAAAAACGACGAGCUUGUAACCGAAUUUCCGAUGUGCGCUUGCGUUGGUUGUGUGGCGCGUUGCGUUCUCUAUGACAUACACACUGACUCCUCACUUCUAUAUAGUCCCCCGGGGGCUGUAUUCCCCGGGGGAACUGUCACUCUAACCUGUCUUCCCGGUAAGCAAAGCGCCAAGCAACUGUAUACUGGACUGUUUAUAUAUUUAUUACACUUGGUAAUCAAUAAACACGUUUGCUGUAUUGUA